UACGGAGGGUGCAAGCGUUAUCCGGAUUCACUGGGUUUAAGGGGAGCGCAGGCGGGCUGGUAAGUCAGUGGUGAAAGCCUUGAGCUUAACUCGAGAACUGCCAUUGAUACUAUCAGUCUUGAAUAUUGUUGAGGUUUGCGGAAUGGGUCAUGUAGCGGUGAAAUGCAUAGAUAUGACCCGGAACACCUAUUGCGAAGGCAGCAGGCUAAACAAAGAUUGACGCUGAGGCUCGAAAGCCGUGGGGGAUCAAACAGGA
rnacentral:rRNA from 1 species